AGAGUGAGACCCUAUCUCUACAAACAAAAUUUUAAAUUAGCCAAGUGUGGUAGCAUGUGCUUACAGUCCCAGCUACUCCAGAAGCUGAGGGGAUUGCUUGAGCCUGGGAGGUCAAGGCUGCAGUGAGUCAUGAUCAUGCCAUUGUAGUCCAACCUGGGCAACAGAGCGAGACCAUCUCAAAAUGAAAAGUGAUAAAAAAAUAAAAACACCAACAUAUUUCAAAUCACUCUUGGAAUAGUCAUGUUGACUCUCCAAUAUCCACUCUAUUCUGAUUAGUUUUAACCCAUUCUCUUUGCCAAUGAUUGGUUAGGAAUGGCCAUGAGAUGUGAGUAGAAGCCCCCUGGACAGCCUCCAAAAGAGAACUGUGAGAAAAGGUUCUUCAAUCCUAAAAAUGAUGGAGGAAAAAACAGUCCCUCUUCCUCAGACAGUGACACCUCAAACUGCUACAGUCACCUUUGCAGCAAGCCUGAAGAUGCCACCAACAUCAAAGGGAAUAGAGAGUUGGUCCUUGGUGAUAGCAUUAAGCCACUGUAUCAACCAAUCCUGACAAUUUGUAUGACUUCUGGAUUUCCAGCCACAUUACAACAAUGUAACAAUAAACAUUUAUUAAUUGCUUAAGCCAAUUUGAGUUAGGUUCCUUAUAUAAUAAAUGAAGUCAAAAAACAA
rnacentral:lncRNA from 10 species